UACAGGGGGGGCAAGCGUUGUUCGGAAUUACUGGGCGUAAAGGGCUCGUAGGUGGCCAACUAAGUCAGACGUGAAAUCCCUCAGCUUAACUGGGGAACUGCGUCUGAUACUGGAUGGCUUGAGUUCGGGAGAGGGAUGCGGAAUUCCAGGUGUAGCGGUGAAAUGCGUAGAUAUCUGGAGGAACACCGGUGGCGAAGGCGGCAUCCUGGACCAACACUGACGCUGAGGAGCGAAAGCCAGGGGAGCAAACGGG
rnacentral:rRNA from 1 species